rnacentral:rRNA from 1 species
UACGUAGGGUGCAAGCGUUGUCCGGAAUUAUUGGGCGUAAAGAGCUCGUAGGCGGUCAGUCGCGUCUGCUGUGAAAACUCGGGGCUUAACUCCGGGCCUGCAGUGGGUACGGGCUGACUAGAGUGCGGUAGGGGAGACUGGAAUUCCUGGUGUAGCGGUGAAAUGCGCAGAUAUCAGGAGGAACACCGGUGGCGAAGGCGGGCCUCUGGGCCGUAACUGACGCUGAGGAGCGAAAGCGUGGGGAGCGAACAGG